UUAAGAAAACGUUUCGUUUUUACAAAGAGGACCCUGUAACUUGUAUAUUCAACCCGCGGUCUAGAGUCCAAGCGUCUGGUUUUAUUAGUAUUAGUCAGGACCAAGUCAAUGCGAUGCCGCGGCGGUGCGAUGCAGAACGGGGGCGGUGGAUGGAGAUUGCAGGGGCCGGAUCCGUGUACGGCAGGGCCUAGGGAGGCGGAUCCGCAGGUGGACGGCUCGGCAGUUAUCGCCGGUGAUGACGAGGAAGGCCGGAGCGUGGUUUUCCGGGCGGAUCCAUGGCGUCGAGGGCUGUUGGUCAGAGAGGAGACAAGGAGGUGAGGGAGAGAAGAAGGGACAAAGGAGGAGUGGUGCCGCGACCUAGGAAGGAGCUUGCCGGAGCCGAGCGAGCGACGACGGACGGGCGCGGGAGACGGAGGGAUCCGGUGCUGCGGCGCGAAUCCUGCCACAGGUGCGAGCCGCUGGUCUUCUAGGACCACCCCUUACGACGACAUUGGCGUCAACGGCUAGGCGCACGACGGCCCAGCGCCCUCCCGUUGCUACAACGCGUGGCGGAGUGCCGUGAGGCCGCGGAUGCUGCUGCUACACCCGCACCACCAGCCCAAGGUCAGUCUCCCUUGCUCUAUAGCGCAACUCCCGCCUAACACCAUGUUGGCUUACUUCUGCCCCUCUGGUUUGGAGAGUGUGCGCUCUCAGCUCUGCUGGGCCGGCCGUGCUCUCUUGCUGAUUCUUAUCUGCAGCUCCAACAUGAAAGCCUACAAAUCAACUCUUGAGAUUUGUCUUCAAAAUAGGAUUUUUUUACUAUGACAUACUCACCAAAGUUACAUGAUGUGCAGUUUAGAAAGUUGAUUACUGGGGAACUUUUACUACAUGUCCAGUUAUGGUUUCAUGAUAAAAGGAUCAUGCACCAAAUGUUUGUUGAAUUGCUGUUUCAAGAAAAUGUAUGGAGUUUUCAUUGCGUGCUUCAAGUCAUUAACCAGGUAGAAUAAAUCCUAUAAGCUGUUCUUACCAUACAAUCUUUUGAACCAAUUUUUGUAAACUUAGUACAAUAUGAUUAUUGUUUUUGUAGGCUUUUCUAUAGAUAUAUUUGAGCUAUUAAAAAUGUGAUUAUAUCAUUUGUCAUCUGAAAACCAGACUCAUUUAUACAUAAUGGGACAUAAUGUCCAGAAAAUAGUCACCAGGUACAAACAUCACUCUUGACCUACAUUGUACAACAUUGCAUAAUUUUCUGUUUUUCUUGAGGUACCGCUCAGUAAUUUUUUAUCGCAUACAUAGAUAGGACAAAGGUCACAAGAGCUGAUUUUGUGCACCUUGCUGCAUGUGCACUCACUUAUUUAAGAUAUUCAAAGUGUGAGCUUUUGAAAUUUCCAAAAAUAAGUCAGAUUUUCAUUAUUAACCCAUGUGCACAUGCAAUGCUUUCUGACUCUCUGACAAUUGUCUUUCAGAAUAAUUUGAUGAACCACCAUGUCACCCUUCUGCUUGGUUCCAUGGGAAAGCAAUUUACAAAGCUCCAGUUGGUCAAUACAGCCUUGAUUCCAUGUUUUCUACCACUGCUUAACUUUAUUUGAAAAACUGUUGUUGUUAUGUAUGUAGGAUACAAUAUAGAGUUGUAUGCAGGAUAUAGUACUAGCGUUGGAAUUUCAGGGCAUCCAAAAAGAACAUAGUAUGCUUCAACCCAUGUUUUCUACCAUUGCUUACCUUUAUUUGAAAAACUAUUGUUGCUAUGUAUGCAAGAUACAAUACUAGAGUUGGAAUAUCAGGGUAUCCAAAAAGAAUUUACUAUGCUUCAGGUAAGAAAGUUAAUUUGUUUGACUUUUGUAAGGACUAAAUUACUAGCUUAAUGCAUGGAACUUAUUGAGCUGCAGUCAUGGCAUGUGCUUACAUAGAGACCUUCAUUCUGUGGAUACACCUCUUCUUAUAGGACAGGUUGUCUACGAAUUAUCCUGAGGUUCAAUUUCCAUAAUAAAUUGUGUGUUUUUAUUUAUCAUGGUUUCUCCUCCUGCAUGACCAAAAUUUCCAGAUGUUGUUUUAUCAUUUCCUUCCGACACCAUUAAAUCUCAAUCUUACCUAUGUUGAAAUGGUUCCAGCGUGUGCGUGAUGCAUUGCUCCCCUUAGUUUUUGAAGGAACAUGGUGCUAUUCCUGGUGCUUUUGGUUAUGAAAAAACUGACAUUAGUCAGGAACUUUCUAAGUACUCUAAUUCUGAAGCUUUGGUUUAUGCGAGAUGUGGCUGAAAGAAGAAAUGAGAUGGUCGAGAUUCUAAUGGAUUUCCCCCAAUUGACAAUGAUAUUUCAUGACAUGAUGUGAAGAGUGGAGCCGCUUAAAGUACAUGGCGAGCUCACCAUGGCCGCCUUUCUUCCUACAGAUUGGGAACCGCCGACCGCGACCCAUGGUGUGUAGAUGAUACACCGGUGAGGUGUUCCAAGGAUGAAGAGGAUCUCACGAUUUUCGGGGAUGAGGAGGAUCUUGCGAUUUUCAGAUUUCAAGUGUCUACACACUAUAUGUAGUAAGUUUUUUAGAGAAGUAGUCAAAUUAAAUCUGGAUACCAAUUUAUUGGAACAUUAUAUUUCUUACAGAAGUAGUCAAACAACGAUAUCAAUUUGUUGGAACCAUCAAGGAGGUGACACUCCUGGAGGGUAUAUAUUCUC